rnacentral:snoRNA from 1 species
AUGCACAGCGAACACCCAGGGAUGCUCAUGUGGCUCUCCCUGGUCUCUCAUGGCUGUGCUACAGUGAUCCUGGUCUUUUCCUCUGCAUUUUGAGAGUUUCAAUCUCUCCGACAUGUAUUCAGCUGACCAGAACAAAC